GACGAACGCUGGCGGCGUGCUUAACACAUGCAAGUCGAACGGAAAGGCCCUGCUUUUGUGGGGUGCUCGAGUGGCGAACGGGUGAGUAACACGUGAGUAACCUGCCCUUGACUUUGGGAUAACUUCAGGAAACUGGGGCUAAUACCGGAUAGGAGCUCCUGCUGCAUGGUGGGGGUUGGAAAGUUUCGGCGGUUGGGGAUGGACUCGCGGCUUAUCAGCUUGUUGGUGGGGUAGUGGUUUACCAAGGCUUUGGCGGGUAGCCGGCCUGAGAGGGUGACCGGCCACAUUGGGACUGAGAUACGGCCCAGACUCCUACGGGAGGCAGCAGUGGGGAAUAUUGCACAAUGGGCGGAAGCCUGAUGCAGCAACGCCGCGUGCGGGAUGACGGCCUUCGGGUUGUAAACCGCUUUCGCCUGUGACGAAGCGUGAGUGACGGUAAUGGGUAAAGAAGCACCGGCUAACUACGUG
rnacentral:rRNA from 1 species